GUUUUUACAUACUCAUGUACGGUGGCCCUGAGAUGCAGAAUACAACGGCAAAUAAGAAAACACAAUGGCAAAUCAGAAAGCAUGACAGCAAAAAGAGAAAACAUGACGGCAAAUAAGAAAACACAACAUUAACCAUUGUGUUUUCUGAUUUGCUGUUGUGUUUUCUCUUUUUGCUGUUGUGCUUUCUGAUUUGCCGUUGUGUUUUGCACCUCAGGGCCACCGUAGUGAUGGGCUGAUGUAAA